rnacentral:rRNA from 1 species
UACGGAGGGUGCAAGCGUUAUCCGGAUUCACUGGGUUUAAAGGGUGCGUAGGUGGGUUGGUAAGUCAGUGGUGAAAUCUCCAGGCUUAACUUGGAAACUGCCAUUGAUACUAUCAAUCUUGAAUACCGUGGAGGUCAGCGGAAUAUGUCAUGUAGCGGUGAAAUGCUUAGAUAUGACAUAGAACACCAAUUGCGAAGGCAGCGGGCUACGCGGAUAUUGACACUGAUGCACGAAAGCGUGGGGAUCAAACAGG